UCAUAUUCAUGGAUGUUUGGUCCCUCAUUUGAGUCCACCUGUGUAGGUUCGGACCCGAGGAACCGAGGACCUCAGCAGUGAGAUAGCUGCUUCAGAUUCAUUAGAGCUUCAGCCAGAGGUGAGUGGAAUAAACUUUUAUGUUUUAAAGUAAAUGAACUUUGAGCAUGAUACAUGCAUCACGUAUGCCAUGAGAUAUACUAGGUUGUUUGCAUUAGAAUUCACGAAUAUGUUGCAUUGCAUAAAUUGAUGUUGAUGUGGAUGGAUGUUGGAUGACCCUUUAGUCCUCGUAUGCUAUGGUAUGAUGAUGAUACGGUACGGAAGACCAGUGAGGCCCAUUCUAUGCCCCUGGCAC
rnacentral:lncRNA from 1 species